rnacentral:rRNA from 1 species
GGUUAAGCGACUAAGCGUACACGGUGGAUGCCCUGGCAGUCAGAGGCGAUGAAGGACGUGCUAAUCUGCGAUAAGCGUCGGUGAGGUGAUAUGAACCGUUAUAACCGGCGAUUUCCGAAUGGGGAAACCCAGUGUGUUUCGACACACUAUCAUUAACUGAAUCCAUAGGUUAAUGAGGCGAACCGGGGGAACUGAAACAUCUAAGUACCCCGAGGAAAAGAAAUCAACCGAGAUUCCCCCAGUAGCGGCGAGCGAACGGGGAGGAGCCCAGAGCCUGAAUCAGUGUGUGUGUUAGUGGAAGUGUCUGGAAAGGCGCGCGAUACAGGGUGACAGCCCCGUACACAAAAAUGCACAUAUUGUGAGCUCGAUGAGUAGGGCGGGACACGUGGUAUCCUGUCUGAAUAUGGGGGGACCAUCCUCCAAGGCUAAAUACUCCUGACUGACCGAUAGUGAACAAGUACCGUGAGGGAAAGGCGAAAAGAACCCCGGCGAGGGGAGUGAAAAAGAACCUGAAACCGUGUACGUACAAGCAGUGGGAGCCUCUUAAUGGGGUGACUGCGUACCUUUUGUAUAAUGGGUCAGCGACUUAUAUUCUGUAGCAAGGUUAACCGAAUAGGGGAGCCGAAGGGAAACCGAGUCUUAACUGGGCGUUAAGUUGCAGGGUAUAGACCCGAAACCCGGUGAUCUAGCCAUGGGCAGGUUGAAGGUUGGGUAACACUAACUGGAGGACCGAACCGACUAAUGUUGAAAAAUUAGCGGAUGACUUGUGGCUGGGGGUGAAAGGCCAAUCAAACCGGGAGAUAGCUGGUUCUCCCCGAAAGCUAUUUAGGUAGCGCCUCGUGAAUUCAUCUCCGGGGGUAGAGCACUGUUUCGGCAAGGGGGUCAUCCCGACUUACCAACCCGAUGCAAACUGCGAAUACCGGAGAAUGUUAUCACGGGAGACACACGGCGGGUGCUAACGUCCGUCGUGAAGAGGGAAACAACCCAGACCGCCAGCUAAGGUCCCAAAGUCAUGGUUAAGUGGGAAACGAUGUGGGAAGGCCCAGACAGCCAGGAUGUUGGCUUAGAAGCAGCCAUCAUUUAAAGAAAGCGUAAUAGCUCACUGGUCGAGUCGGCCUGCGCGGAAGAUGUAACGGGGCUAAACCAUGCACCGAAGCUGCGGCAGCGACACUAUGUGUUGUUGGGUAGGGGAGCGUUCUGUAAGCCUGUGAAGGUGGCCUGUGAGGGUUGCUGGAGGUAUCAGAAGUGCGAAUGCUGACAUAAGUAACGAUAAAGCGGGUGAAAAGCCCGCUCGCCGGAAGACCAAGGGUUCCUGUCCAACGUUAAUCGGGGCAGGGUGAGUCGACCCCUAAGGCGAGGCCGAAAGGCGUAGUCGAUGGGAAACAGGUUAAUAUUCCUGUACUUGGUGUUACUGCGAAGGGGGGACGGAGAAGGCUAUGUUGGCCGGGCGACGGUUGUCCCGGUUUAAGCGUGUAGGCUGGUUUUCCAGGCAAAUCCGGAAAACCAAGGCUGAGGCGUGAUGACGAGGCACUACGGUGCUGAAGCGACAAAUGCCCUGCUUCCAGGAAAAGCCUCUAAGCAUCAGGUAACAUCAAAUCGUACCCCAAACCGACACAGGUGGUCAGGUAGAGAAUACCAAGGCGCUUGAGAGAACUCGGGUGAAGGAACUAGGCAAAAUGGUGCCGUAACUUCGGGAGAAGGCACGCUGAUAUGUAGGUGAAGCGACUUGCUCGUGGAGCUGAAAUCAGUCGAAGAUACCAGCUGGCUGCAACUGUUUAUUAAAAACACAGCACUGUGCAAACACGAAAGUGGACGUAUACGGUGUGACGCCUGCCCGGUGCCGGAAGGUUAAUUGAUGGGGUUAGCGGUAACGCGAAGCUCUUGAUCGAAGCCCCGGUAAACGGCGGCCGUAACUAUAACGGUCCUAAGGUAGCGAAAUUCCUUGUCGGGUAAGUUCCGACCUGCACGAAUGGCGUAAUGAUGGCCAGGCUGUCUCCACCCGAGACUCAGUGAAAUUGAACUCGCUGUGAAGAUGCAGUGUACCCGCGGCAAGACGGAAAGACCCCGUGAACCUUUACUAUAGCUUGACACUGAACAUUGAGCCUUGAUGUGUAGGAUAGGUGGGAGGCUUUGAAGUGUGGACGCCAGUCUGCAUGGAGCCGACCUUGAAAUACCACCCUUUAAUGUUUGAUGUUCUAACGUUGGCCCGUAAUCCGGGUUGCGGACAGUGUCUGGUGGGUAGUUUGACUGGGGCGGUCUCCUCCUAAAGAGUAACGGAGGAGCACGAAGGUUGGCUAAUCCUGGUCGGACAUCAGGAGGUUAGUGCAAUGGCAUAAGCCAGCUUGACUGCGAGCGUGACGGCGCGAGCAGGUGCGAAAGCAGGUCAUAGUGAUCCGGUGGUUCUGAAUGGAAGGGCCAUCGCUCAACGGAUAAAAGGUACUCCGGGGAUAACAGGCUGAUACCGCCCAAGAGUUCAUAUCGACGGCGGUGUUUGGCACCUCGAUGUCGGCUCAUCACAUCCUGGGGCUGAAGUAGGUCCCAAGGGUAUGGCUGUUCGCCAUUUAAAGUGGUACGCGAGCUGGGUUUAGAACGUCGUGAGACAGUUCGGUCCCUAUCUGCCGUGGGCGCUGGAGAACUGAGGGGGGCUGCUCCUAGUACGAGAGGACCGGAGUGGACGCAUCACUGGUGUUCGGGUUGUCAUGCCAAUGGCACUGCCCGGUAGCUAAAUGCGGAAGAGAUAAGUGCUGAAAGCAUCUAAGCACGAAACUUGCCCCGAGAUGAGUUCUCCCUGACUCCUUGAGAGUCCUGAAGGAACGUUGAAGACGACGACGUUGAUAGGCCGGGUGUGUAAGCGCAGCGAUGCGUUGAGCUAACCGGUACUAAUGAACCGUGAGGCUUAACCUU